rnacentral:lncRNA from 1 species
CACAAUUCAACCGAGUCACGACACAAUUUUUGGUUUAGUGGUUGAUACGCAACACAAACUACUUUGUUUUAUUUGGUGUUUGUUAUGUUUAAGUAUUAAAUAGAACAUUGCAAAAUUCAAAAACUCUACUAUUUCCAUUGUGGUUUAUUUAGUUUAGUAUGAAAACAAGACGAAGGAUAGGGUGCACAAGUUAAAAAACUUGGACACCAUGCCAAAGUCUUUUAUAACCGUUCAUUUUGAUCAAAGAGUUCAGAUUUUUUUGUUAUUUUUCAUUUUCGAUUUUUUCUUGUUUUUCCCAAUUUGUCCCUGCCUCUCUUCUCUCUCACGGUCUCACCUACCAUCUUUCCAAUUGCGAUCCAGAUCCAGAAGUGGAUCACGGCCACCGGAAUACCCCUCACUUUCUUCAUGACGACGACACAGAAGAGUAACGCGUCGCAGGCGGUGCGUGGAGGUGGUCAAUUUGCGCCUUCAUCAUGAUGCCUUUGUUGACGUCGUCGAAGGUGUUCGCGGAAGCACUGAGGUAGGGGAUGAAGUGGAGUGUUAUGUUGUCGGUUUGAGUUCGGAGGCGAGCCAUUGGUGGUGGUGGCCGCGGCAGUGGCGGUGGCGGUGGGUGGAGUUUCGUUUUGUUGGCGUUUGGCUUUGCCGCUUUGGUGGGUGUCACAGGUUUUACGGUGCUUCAAGUUUUGUUUUUUUUGUGGUCUAAUUCAUAUCCAUUUCUGCAAGACUUGUAUGGUAGUUUGAGUUUCAUUUUUUUCUGUUUCAGAUUUGUUUCUUGAAGUUUUUUUUAUGUUUCAUGUGUGUUGUUGUUGGUUUUAUGAAAGCCAUUGACAUAUAUGGUAGAGAGACAUGGUCGCCGGAGAAGAGUGUAGAGAAGUUGCCGGAGGAGGAGAGGAUGAGGAUGUGGUUGGGAUUAAGGUUUGGAAAGAUUUUGAGUGGUGAGAGAAAAGAUAGAAUCAAGGAUAAUUACAGGGUAAAUCGGGAAAGAAAGUCAUAAAAAGAGAAAUAAAAAGAUAAAAAAGAGAAAAUAUCACAACCAUUAAUUCAAAGUUAUAAAAAUCUAACCGUUCAUAAGAAACUUUGGUAUGGAGCCCAAGUUUUUAAACUUGUGCACCCUAGGUCCCUAGCCAUCGUUUGAAAACAAUGAAGAGAGUAAUAAUGGUGAUGGGAAUCAUAUGUGGGGUACAAAAAGUUGUCUCUUGGUUUAUUAUUAAUAAUGUUAAUGUUUUUUUUUUAUGUUUAAUUUUAUCUGCUUUGAUUGUUUCAUGGUGAGGGGGAGUCUUGGCACAAUUAUAAAGUUGUAUCUUGGUGAUGGGUUGGUUAUGUGUUUGAAUUCAGGCACAAGGAUAAUACUUCUUAUAAUGAUCCUCUUUCAUAUAUUUGCAUAGUGAGAGUCUUCAGGUACUGGGAUAGGUUAGUUUUAAUUGUUUCAUGGUCACUUUUAAAAUUAAUCAAAUAAUAGUAGUUUUGUGUUGUUUAGUUCAUUAUUUUUCAAAUAAUGAAUCUUGAGGAUGAGUUUUGAUAUAAAACAAAGUUUUAGAAUGUGAUUGUUUUUUUUGUUAAUCUUUUUCCUUGCUUUAUGUUGAGUUGGCUAUUGAACUUUCUAUUGUGUAAAAGAGUAGUUUGUUUUUCAUUCAUUUUAAUUUUGGGUUCUAUGAAAAAAAAUGGUGAAUCCAUUUAGUUAAGGAGAGAAUUCUCAAGUUUAGAGAUUUAUAGAGUUUUUAGGAUCCCCAUUCACAAAACAAAAUAUUUAAAAUGGUCUCAACUAUCAACUUGUUCAUAUCAUGUUAAGGAGGGUAUAGUUAAGUUGACAGGGUAUUGCGCGAAUUAAUGUAGAUUAACUGUUACUGUUUUUUAUUUUCACAUAUAAGACAAAAUCAUGUUAAAGGGAAAAAAUGUAAAUUUAGACAUUCAGUCCCUUGACAAGUAGUAGAACAGAUGACAUAUAUCCAACAUAUAUUACACGAGAUUAUAAAGCUUCAAUGUAUGUUUCUUAGAAUGAUGAAGAAAAUUUGAGAUGCAAUAAAUGGAAUCUAUUCAAAGACCCAAGUAUAUAAUGUAAAGGUGAAAAUAAUUACAACAAAAGCAAGGGUAUAAACCUAUCACAGAAUAUGCCAAUAUAUUGAAAUUCUAUACAGAAUAAAUGUAAUGUAGAUUCAAUGGUCCUUAAAUAUUUUAUCGAACAAGAUAAGGUCCAUGACCUUUUGUGGGACUAAAUUCUAAAUUUGAUUGAAUACGAAUUCAAAUUUUGAGAAACCAGAGUCGUUGCUAUUGUGCGAAGUGAGGAGAGAGUAAAAGGAACUUAAUGCUGGAUAUUGUAAAUGUUGUAAAUGUUGAGGUUAAUAAAAAGUGAAAAAGAAGGGUGGUAUACCUAUUUAUAAUAAGCCUCAAUAAAUCCGAGAAAAUGACCGGAAGUUGCGUGGUAAAGCAGCUCAUAAUUAUGAAGGGAGACUGUAAAACACAACGAAACAUGAAAAGAGGAGUCGAAUUAUGUUUCAAAUAAUUUUCUGCAGAACUAUGUAUCAUUUACUUGAAAGACGACGCAAAACAAUUUUAAACUAACUUAGUUUUAAGUCUCUUAUAAAAAAAAUUAUAUUUAAAUCUCUUUAAUCCUCAAAAGCAAUAUAUUUUAAUUAAUCUCUUACAAUUUCCCAAUGUAAUUAAAUUCUAAGGCAAUGGUGGCGAAUUUGACUUCCUAUAAACUGUUGGAAAACUAUGAAGCUUUUUUCUUUGUUUUUUUUUUAUCUCUCAGAAUGUUAAAUAAUUAACAUUUUUUGGUUGAUUUAAUUAAUUAAUUUACAUUCUCCAAAAACUAUUCUACUCUUCAGGACAGGUACAUUUCAGGAGUAAUCAAAAUCG